rnacentral:rRNA from 1 species
UACGUAGGGGGCUAGCGUUGUUCGGAAUCACUGGGCGUAAAGCGCACGUAGGCGGAUUUUUAAGUCAGGGGUGAAAUCCCGAGGCUCAACCUCGGAACUGCCUUUGAUACUGGAGAUCUUGAGUCCGGAAGAGGUAAGUGGAACUGCGAGUGUAGAGGUGAAAUUCGUAGAUAUUCGCAAGAACACCAGUGGCGAAGGCGGCUUACUGGUCCGGAACUGACGCUGAGGUGCGAAAGCGUGGGGAGCAAACAGG